UUUUUAGCAUAAAUAUACCCCAUGCAGUAUUUGGGAUAUACUUAUGCUAAAA
rfam:Pteropus alecto contig164987, whole genome shotgun sequence.